CAGCCGCCGCGGUAAUACGAAGGGGGCUAGCGUUGCUCGGAAUUACUGGGCGUAAAGGGAGCGUAGGCGGGUCGUUAAGUUGGGGGUGAAAGCCCGGGGCUCAACCUCGGAAUUGCCUUCAAGACUGGCGACCUUGAGUAUGGGAGAGGUGAGUGGAACUCCGAGUGUAGAGGUGAAAUUCGUAGACAUUCGGAAGAACACCAGUGGCGAAGGCGACUCACUGGCCCAUUACUGACGCUGAGGCUCGAAAGCGUGGGGAGCAAACAGGAUUAGAUACCCCUGUAGUCCCUGUCUCUUAUAC
rnacentral:rRNA from 1 species